rnacentral:rRNA from 1 species
CCUACGGGAGGCAGCAGUGAGGAAUAUUGGUCAAUGGACGAGAGUCUGAACCAGCCAAGUAGCGUGAAGGAUGACUGCCCUAUGGGUUGUAAACUUCUUUUAUAUGGGAAUAAAAUGUUCCACGUGUGGGAUUUUGUAUGUACCAUAUGAAUAAGGAUCGGCUAACUCCGUGCCAGCAGCCGCGGUAAUACGGAGGAUCCGAGCGUUAUCCGGAUUUAUUGGGUUUAAAGGGAGCGUAGGUGGAUUGUUAAGUCAGUUGUGAAAGUUUGCGGCUCAACCGUAAAAUUGCAGUUGAAACUGGCAGUCUUGAGUACAGUAGAGGUGGACGGAAUUCGUGGUGUAGCGGUGAAAUGCUUAGAUAUCACGAAGAACUCCGAUUGCGAAGGCAGUUCACUGGACUGCAACUGACACUGAGGCUCGAAAGUGUGGGUAUCAAACAGGAUUAGAUACCCGUGUAGUC